GUAUCAGCUGGUGGGCUUUAUAACUUCAGAGACCUUAUCAUGGAAGACAGCCCUUCACAUAUUUUCUUGCUCAAUUGCGAUGUUUGCUGCAGUUUUUCACUGCCAGAAAUGCUUGAGUCUCACAGAAGAUAUGGUGGUAUGGGAACUAUUCUAGUAAUAAAAGUAGGAGUUCUU